rnacentral:lncRNA from 1 species
GGUAAGGUUAGUGACAAGAAUACCCAAAGGAAUAUUUUUACAAUUAUCCUUAUAUGCUCAAUACACAAGGUAAUGUUGCAAAUAAUUAAAAGCUCAUGUUACGAUCUGAUUAGUGCUUAUUUUAGGACACUAAGCUUGUCCUUGGGAAACCAUCAAAUUAUGUCUGCGAAGUGGUUUCCCCUCCAACGCUGACCUAUAUCAAGAUCAACUCAACGAGAUCUGCAAUAUUUAUUAUAGACAUAUGCAUCGACAACCGCCCUUUUAAUUUUUUUAUAAAUAGAAAGAAAGAGGGGGUUGGAGAUCUUGAAUGUGGUGAUGUUGGAGAGACCAAAGGAUUGGGAAGAUGUUACAUAUGAGCAUGGAGUAAAUAAAGUGGCUAUGAAAUAAAUUCCAUGCUCAUUAAUGCUUGGAGUGAAAUCCAUAUGGUGUGGUGAAAAUGGUAAGGUGAAUGUGGUAAAAAAAAGAAAAGAAAAAAGGAUACACGGACGACUUGGUUCGAAACUAGCACAGCUACCGUUCCCCGGCAACGGCGCCAGAAAGCUUGUUAGGUAUUUUAAACGCAAACAGAGAAAAUCCGCAAGCGCACGGAAACUGAUGUAGCUUUCACCCGGAAGUAUUCCACAGUAUCGAUUUUCCACAGAGAACGUGAGUGUACUAAUUAAGAUUCAAGAUCGCCCAAGGAUAACUAUAUAAUUAUUUUUGGUGGGAAAAGAGAAAGUUUCUUGAGAGUUCUCUAGUUGAUCUAAGAAUCAAGAAUUACUUCAAAGAUUAUUUAUUUCGGGACAUCAGAACACUAACCAUAGAAAGAGAUGAGAAGGGGGCUAGGAAGCUCUGACUACGAUCCUACAAACACC